rnacentral:rRNA from 1 species
AUGGACACUGGCUCGUCGGCCCAGGACCUAGAAGCAGCCAGCGAUAGCUCGUCCGGGUGGACGCCGGGCGGUGGGACAGCCGUGCUGAAUGUGGCGGCGCAGGACGUCCGGAACCGGCUUCAGGCCCAAGCCACCGUGCUGAAGCAGUACACCCAGGAGUUUCUCACGACGCGAUCGGUUAUUCGGGAGUACCACAACCUCCGCGCGGCCGCUUUCAACUCCCAGGCCCAGGAGUUGAAUCAGAAGGCCACUGAUCUGUCCGAGAGUCAGAGGGCCAAUGCUGACUUGAGGAGCCAGCUAAGCGGAGCCCAGCCCUCCCUUCGCGCCAAGGAAGACGAGUGUGCCGCCCUGGCCCAGGAGCGCGAUCGCCUGGCCAAGAAGCUGGCUGACCAGGAGGAGAGCCACAAGGCGGCCCUGAAGGCGGCACAGGACAGCGAGGCCGCCCUCAAAGCCGAAUAUGAGACCGAGGCGGCAAACUGGGCCGAGACGAGGCAGGCGCUGAGCCAAGGCUACAGCCGGGUGGAAGACUUGAUUGACGAUUACUUUCCCGGCUACUCUGCCACCGCCGCCAGGCCUGCCGCCCAAGCCAUCGAGGCCUACCGCGACGCGCGACGGCAGGCAGGGGCCGAGAUCGCGCCGGGUGCCAGCCGGUCACUUGAGGAGCAACUUCUGGGGCAUCAAGCCUGCCUGCAGCCGGCCCACCGCAUGCUCCACCGUCUUCAGCGCGCCGGGGCGCAAGUGGUGGCCGCCCUCUGGCCUGGCGAGGUGAUUCCGCGCACUCCAAGUCGGACUACCAACUGGCUGGAGGUCGCAGUCGGCCGCUUCAAGGCUUGGAAGGCGUCAGCGGCCCGGUCUGGCGCAGGGCGGGCACUGGAGUUCGUCCGAGCCUGGUAUCCAGGGCUGAACUUAGACUAG